CUGAAAUGCUUUCAAUACUUCCUACCUAACCGCAGGCUUUCCCUGCGAGUAAAGCGUAAAAUGGGACCAUGUGGCCCACUCCUCUUCCUUCUCUUGAGCUCUCCACGUGCCACUAAUGCUUGGAAGAGACAGGUUUCUUUCUAGGAUAGAGAUCUCUGCCCCAUUUCUGUCUUUAAAAUGUGAAUUCUUAAAGAAGUAGGAUAGCUUGCAGGUCAGGCAAUUGGAAAAAUACAGGGCCUGCCUUUGGAGGGAUUGCCAGUUUUCAGCCUCUGAGGAAAGUGUAUGGAGGUAUGAAUGAACACAGGGCUGAAAGAGACCGCUUUUAUUGGAAUCGGCUUUGGAGUGCAUCAGUGAACCUGAUAAAGAUUGCUUCCUGCCUCUGUACUGCCCAUGAUGAGGUGCUUGCUGGUCUGCGUGCUCCUCUGCAGCCACCCAGUGAAGUGUCUGUUGUCGGUCUCCAUUUCACUGAUGGAGAAAGCUGUGUUCCAAGGUGGUCAACUCACUCUCUUGACAUGUUAACAAGGAAGAGGUGGCAGAACCUGGGAGAAGCACAGGCAUUCGGGUCCCAGAGGAAACACCAGUGUAGUGGUUCUUGAAGUGGGCUCCUCCCAGACCAGCAGCAGCAGCAGUAUCCCUUAGGAGCUUGUUAGAUAUGCAGACUUCUUUAUUGACUCAGAAACUGGGAGUUGGGCUCAGCGCUCUGGGCUUUAAGAAGCAUUCAAAUGGAUGCUGGACACGGUGACUCCUGCCUGUGAUCCCAGCACUUUGGGAGGCCGAGGCGGGUGGAUAGCUUGAGUCCAGGAGUUCAAGAGCAGCCUGGGCAACAUGGUGAAACCCUGUCUCUUUAAAAAGAAAAGAAGAAAUGUGGUUUCAAGCUUGGCCCCCGCCCAUUGCACACACAUACAAGGUCAAUACACACACACAAGGUCAAGAGCUCUGCUAGAGAAAGGCCUGGACUGGGGUUUGCAGCCACCAGCCUUGCAACUGCCUUCUAGAGUAGAAACUAACUUGGUGAAGGGGGAAGGCAAAUGCUUAGAUAGAUGUGACGGCUGGAGAAGCCCAGGGCUGACAGGGAGGAGCAUGGCGAAGCAUAGACAAGGAAGCGGGGCCUAUUCCCACUGAAGUGACAAACAUUGUGGACGCUCUGCGGCCACAGGCUUCUCAACAGCAGCUAGCAGGCACGUUUUCAGGCAGUGGAAUUCCACACAUCCCAGAACAGAAAAUCAGUUUGGGCUGUUCUUUGGAUUUGAUUAGUGCCGAGUAGGGGUGAGGGAGACAAGAGUAAAGCAGUUUCCCCACAAGGUUGUUGAGACUGUUGGGUGCUGGAUCUGAAACCCUGUGACUGUAAACAACGAGAGGAUUUUUUUUUUAACUUUAGAAAAGAGGAUGAAGUAAUUCUCAAUGUUUAAAUUGUAUUUGUAUCUUUUGAAAUGUUGGUAGAGGAGAACCUGAACUUGAAUUUUACUUGUACCUGGCAUUUGAAGAAGAGUCUGUAUGAGUGUGUCAUUUCGAGUUGAUAGAGAAGGAACUUCUCAUGGGUUUACGGUUGCUGGAUAGAUUGAUAGUUGUUCCUUUCCUAGUUCAUUCAUCACUCUACUCCUUACUGCCCAUUUAUAAAAUUCCUUCUAUUUUGGAGAGUUUAAAGCAUAUGAAGUCGACAUAAUAGUAUAAAGCAAUGAUCUCCCAAACUUUUUUUUAAUCUCAAGAUUUGUGAAUAAUCUUAGCAAUUACGGAGGACGCCAAAGAGAUUUCCUUAACAUAUGCAGUAUACCUCUCAGUAUUUACCAUAUUCAGUAGUAAAACAGAGUCUGUCCAGCACAGUGGCAUCACACAUCACAAAGCAGCUAGAAAACUAGAUCCACUGUGUUACUGUGAGAGAAUGAGUGAAAAGGCAAAUAAUGUCUUAGUAUUUUAUGGUCUUCUCAACGGUCUGGGAUCUUGCACUGUACUUCAAGAGCUUUUGAUAACAUGUAUGUAGCAGUUAGACAAGGUCAUUAUCACAUGUUAAUAAAUUUAGACCUGGCGUGGUGGCUCAUGCCUGUAAUCCUGGCACUUUGGGAGGCUGAAGUGGGUGGAUCACGUGAGGUUGGGAGUUUGAGACCAGCCUGACCAACAUGGAGAAACUCCGUCUCUACUAAAAAUACAAAAUUAACCAGGUGUGGUGGUACCUGCCUGUAAUUCCAGCUACUUGGGAAGCUGAGGCAAGAGAAUUGCUUGAACCCAGGAGGCAGAGGUUGUGGUGAGCCAAGAUCACGCCAUUGUACUCCAGCCUGGGCAAGAAGAGUGAUACUCUGUCUCAAAAAUAAAUAAAUACAUAUAUACAUACACAAGUUUAACAGUAACUUCAUGUCAUCCAGUGUCUAUAGGAGAGUCACUUUUCCAGUGGCCUCAUAUGUUAUAAUUUGUUGGGGUUUUUUUUGGUUUGGUUGGUUUUUUUUUAAAAUGGAGUCUCUUUUAGCAGGCUGGAGUACAGUGGCACAAUCUUGACUCACUGCAACUUCCGCUUCCUGGGUUCAAUUGAUUCUCCUGCCUCAGCCUCCCAAGUAGCUGGGACUACAGGUGCAUGACACCACGCCCAGCUGAUUUUUGUAUUUUCAGUAAAGACAGAGUUUCACCAUGUUGACCAUGAUGGUCUCUAUCUCUUGACCUCGUGAUCUGCCUGCCUCAGCCUCCCAAAGUGCUGGGAUUACAGGUGUGAUCCACCAUACCUGGCCUGUAAUUUUUUUUUUAAUAGAUUUUUACUCAAAAUCUAUGUUUCAUUCAGUUGAUAUGCCUCCUAAGAAUCUGUUAAAGAAUCUGAUAGUCUGUAGGAACCUUACAAUUUAUUAAAGAGUCUUGUUUUGGUUGUUGUCUGCUAUUCAUCCUGGGGAGUGUCUUUCAGAGGUUGGGCUUUGCAAUUACACCUGUAACAGUUUAUGCUUCUCUGUCCGCUCAGGCUUUUCAUUCCAUCCUGGGGUUCCUUUAUACCAAGUGGUCUUUCUUUCAAACAGCAACUUCUGGAUGUCACUGUUUGGAAAGUGAGCCUUGUUGGCGUGUUGGGGAUAGUUGUCUUUUCCUAUAAGUAUCUCAAAGCAACCCACUGAAGGUGGGUAGAGUGCAUUUUUGAAAGAUGUGUCAUGGCCUUGGGGUGGAAUGAAAGACCAAGUAGUGGUUGGCAAAAAGAGCAAGAGAUAAGCCCACUUUAAAACCAUUCCCUCUCUAGAACCUGACAGUAGCAGAGCCAACUAGAUUUUAAAAUGCACAGAGAAAAGCACUUUUUUAAAAAGAUAAUUUGUUUUUUUUUUUUUUUUGAGACGGAGUUUCACUCUUGUUACCCAGGCUGGAGUGCAAUGGCGCGAUCUCGGCUCACCGCAACCUCUGCCUCCUGGGUUUAGGCAAUUCUCCUGUCUCAGUCUCCCGAGUAGCUGGGAUUACAGGCACGCGCCACCACGCCCAGCUAAUUUUUUUGUAUUUUUAGUAGAGACGGGGUUUCACCUCGUUGACCGGGAUGGUCUUGAUCUCUUGACCUUGUGAUCCACCCGCCUCGGCCUCUUAAAGUGCUGGGAUUACAGGUUUGAGCCACCGCGCCUGGCCGAUAAUUUAAGAAUUAUUACACUGGAGGUACAUCCUAUGAAAUAAUUCAAACUGUAGGAAAAAAGCAGCACCCUCCUUACAGAUGCAGAUUUAAAAUACAUAAUGAAACCAGACUACAUAAGCACCAUGCUGUUUUACUUGAUCGUGUACCUUAGAUGGCUUUCUGUGACACUGCACAGAUUAUUUAUUUUUACUGAUUGCACAGUACUCCAUCAUAUGCUGUAUCAUAAUUUAUGGACGUGAUCCUCUGAGGAUGAAUAUUUGGAUUGUUCUGACUUUUCAUGAGGUAUUUUACUGAUUGUUCAUAAUCUUUGUCCAUUUUUCUCUUGAAUUGUUUCCCAUUUUUUCUUGUUAAUUUAUAUUCUUAAGUCUCUUAAUACAUCUUUUUCCCGUUGUUAUUCUCCAUAGCCUGUUUUUUCAGGAAUAUGGUCACAUAGGUUUACAAUAUGUUUUUACCAAAUGUACGUUUUCUCUUUUGUUUUGUUUUGUUUUGAGCUGGAGUUUCGCUCUUUUUGCCCAGGUUGGAGUGCAAUGGCGUGAUCUCGGCUCACCGCAACCUCCGCCUCCUGGGUUCAGGCAAUUCUCCUGCCUCAGCCUCUUGAGUAACUGGGAUUACAGGCAUGUGCCACCAUGCCCAGCUAUUUUUUUUUUUUUUUUUUUUUUUUUGUAUUUUUCGUAGAGAUGGGGUUUCUCUGUCUUGGUUGGGCUGGUCUCUAACUCCCGACCUCAGGUGAUCUGCCCGCCUCUGCCUCCUAAAGUGCUGGGAUUCCCGGCGUGAGCCAUCAUGCCUGGCAUAUGUUUUCAGUUUUCAUAGAAACACAUUUAUCUCUUUCUUUCCUCCAUGGCUUUUAGGGCUAUAUUACAUUUUAGAAGUGCUUUUUCUGUUAAAAAGUUAUAAAAUAUUUUCCUGUGUUUUUCUCCUUAUUUCUUAAUUCUUUUUUAUGAUAUAGGGUCUCACUUUGUUGCCCAGGGUUGAGUGCAGUGGCAUGAUCUUGACUUACUGCAACCUCCACCUCCUGGGCUUAGGUGAUCUGCCUGCCUCAGUCUCCCCAGUAGCUGGGACUACAGGCACUCACCACCACAGCUGACUAAUUUUUGUAUUUUUUUGUGGAGGAGGGGUUUUGCCAUGUUGCCCAGGCUGUUCUUGAACUCCUAAGCUCGAGCAAUCCGACCACCUUGGCCUCCCCAAGUGCUAGGAUUACAGGCAUGGGGCACUGUGCCUGGCCUCCACAAAUCUUUAACUCAGUUUAUUUUGGCAUAAAGAGUGAGAUACAGAGAUCCAGCAGUAUAUGUAUUUUUCAUGUUAUAAUCAUCUUAGUACCAUUUAUUUAGAUAAUUGGUAAUCCAUCUUUUCUUCCACUGAUACGUUAUGCUAUUUUUGGUAUAUACUUGAUUCACUUUUCAAAUAUAUAGGAUUUGGGUCUAAUUCUGAACUCCUUUUAGUUGCAUUGACCUUUGUUUGUUCCUGUACCAGAAACGUAUUAACCCAGCUGUGUGAUGAAUUUUAGUAUAUGACCGCUCUAUUUAUUCCUCACACAAGUGGUUCUCAGCUCUGGCCACGCUUUAUCAGAUUUAUCUGUAGAGUUCUUAAAAAUAUGAUGUCUGAAGCACAUGUAGACAAGUUAAGUUAGAAUCUGUAGGAUAUGAUAGGGACAUUCAUACAGUGUGCAGUUCCUCAGAUGAUUUUCAUGGCAGCCAGGGUUGAGAACCACUGUGUUAGAUAAAUUUAGGACUUUUUUUCAAAUUUUAAAAACAAAAAGUCGGGAUUUUGGAUUUAUAAGAUUCAGUACAGCUUUAUAAACCAUUUUAGGAGGGAUGUGACAUUUUAACAGUUUUGUGGCUUUCUCAGUCUUUUUAUCCUAUGCAUAUAAAUGAUCUUUUCUGAGGGUCUUAUGUUCCUUAGAAGCAUAGUAUGGUUUUCUUUAUCUGUGUAAUCAAUCUUUCUUAUGUCGUUUAUUUCUGGAGGUAUUAGGGGAUUUUUGUUGCUGUUGGGGAUGAGUUCUAUUUCAUUAUCUAACUGGCUGGGGUUUUUUUUUUGGUAUAUUUUUAAAUUAAUUUAUUUACUUUAGGUGCAUACUAUAUCUGGCAUUUCUCCCCAUGUUAUCCCUCCUCACCCUCCCCUCCCUCCGCACCCCCUGCUGUCUCUCCCUACCCUCCUCAACUGCCCCCAGUGUGUGAUGCCCCUCUCCCAGAGUCCACAUGUUCUCGUUGUUCAACACCCACCUAAGAGUGAGAACAUACGGUGUUUGGCUUUCUGUUCUUGUGUUAGUUUGCUGAGAAUGAUGGUUUCCAGAUUCAUCCAAGUCCCUACAAAGGACACAAACUCGUUUUUUUAUGGCUGCGUAGUAUUCCACGCUGUAUAUGUACCACAUUUUCUUUGUCCAGUCUAUCAUUGAUGGACAUUUGGGUUGAUUCUAUGGAAGUCUAGUAUUUAUUUUUUUUUUCAGAGUUUCCAGUCAACACUCAGAAACAGGUUGUUCAGUUUCCAAGUUGUUGUGCGGGUUUGAGUGUGUUUCUUGAUCCUGAGUCCUAGUUUGAGUGCGCUGUGGUCUGAUAGACUGUUUGUUAUGAUUUCUGUUCUUUUGCAUUUGCUGAGGAGUGAUUUGCUUCCAAUGAUGUGGUCAGUUUUAGAGUAUGUGCAAUGUGGUGCUAAGAAAAAUGUAUAUUCUGUGGAUUUGGGGUGGAGCAUUCUGUAUAUGUCUAUUAGAUCCACUUGGUCCAGCUCUGCAUUCAAGUCCUGGAUAUCCUUGUUAAUUUUCUGUCUCAUUGAUCUAAUAUUGACAGUGGAGUGUUGAAGUCUCCCACUAUUAUUGUGUGGGAGUCUAAAUCUCAUUUUAGGUCAUUAAGAACUUGCUUUAUGUAUCUGGGUGCUCCUGUGUUGGGGGCGUAUGUAUUUAGGAUACUUAGCUCUUCCUGUUGGAUUGAUGCUUUUACCAUUAUGUAGUGUCCUUCUUUGUCUCUUUUGAUCUUUGUUGGUUUGAAAUCUAUUUAUCAGAGACUAGGAUUGCAACCCCUGCUUUUUUUUUGUUCUCCAUUUGCUUGGUAAAUCUUCUUCCAUCCCUUUAUUUUGAGUCUAUGUGUGUCUUUGUAUGUGAGAUGGGUUUCCUGAAUAAAGCACACUGAAGGGUUCUGACUUUUUAUCCAGUUUGCCAGUCUGUCUUUUGAUUGGGGUGUUUAGGCCAUUUACAUUCAAUGUUAAUAUUGUUAUGUGUGGAUUUGAUACUGCCAUUUUGUCACUGACUGGUUUUCUUUCCCAUUAGUUGCCUCAUUUUCUUCAUUGCAAUUUUGGUUUUUGCCACUGGUUUGCUUUUGCAGUGACUGGUACUUGUUCCUUUCCAUGGUUAGUGUUUCUUUCGGGAGCUCUUGUAGGGCAGGUCUGGUGGUGACAAAAUCUCUCACAAAAUUGCUUCUCCAUAAAGGAUUUUAUUUCUCCUUCACUUACAAAGCUUAGUUUGGCCAGAUAUGAGAUUCUGGGUUGAAAGUUCUUUUCUUUAAGGAUGUUGAAUAUCGGCCCCCACUCUCUUCUAGCUUGUAGGGUUUCUGCAGAGAGAUCUGCUGUGAGUCUGAUUGGCUUCCCUCUGUGGGUGACCUGGCCUUUCUCUCUGGCUGCCCUAAGCAUUUUUUCCUUCAUUUCAACCCUGGUGAAUCUGACAAUUAUGUGCCUUGGGGUUGCUCUUCUUGAGGAAUAUCUUUGGGGAGUUCUCUGUAUUUCUUGAAUUUGAAAUUUGGACUGCCGGCCAGGCGCGGUGGCUCAAGCCUGUAAUCCCAGCAUUUUGGGAGGCCGAGGCGGGUGGAUCACGAACACGAGGUCAACAGAUCAAGACCAUCCUGGUCAACAUGGUGAAACCCCGUCUCUACUAAAAAUACAAAAAAUUAGCUGGGCAUGGUGGCGCGUGCCUGUAAUCCCAGCUACUCAGGAGGCUGAGGCAGGAGAAUUGCCUGAACCCAGGAGGCGGAGGUUGCGGUGAGCCGAGAUCACACCAUUGCACUCCAGCCUGGGUAACAAGAGCGAAACUCCGUCUCAAAAAAGAAGAGAAAUUUGGACUGCCUUGCUAGGCUUGGGAAGUUCUCCUGGAUAAUAUCCUGGAACAUGUUUUCCAGCUUGGAUUCAUUCUCCCAUCAUAUUCAGGUACACCGAUCAAGCGUAGAUUAGGUCUUUUCACAUAAUCCCUUAUUUCUUGGAAGCUUUGUUUAUUUCUUUUCACUCUUUUCUCUUGUCUUCCCUUCUCUUUUUAUUCCAUUGAGUUGAUCUUCAAUCUCUGAUAUCCUUUCUUCUCCUUGAUUGAUCUGGCUAUUAAAACUUGUGUUUGCUUCACAUAGUUCUCGUGCUGUGUUUUUCAGCUCCAUCAAGUUGUUUAUGUUCUUCUCUAUCCUGGUUAUUCCAAUUAGCAUUUUGUCUAACUUUUUUUCAAGGUUUUUGGUUUCUUUGCAUUGAGUUAGAACAUGUUCCUUUAGCUCAGAAAUGUUUAUUAGCCACCUUCUGAAGCCUGUUUCUGUCAGUUUGUUGCACUCCUCAGUCAAGUUGUGAUCCUAUGUUGUUGAGAAGUUGUGAUGCCUUGAAGGAGAAGUGUCGUUCUGGUCUUUGAUGGUUUCAUCUUUUUGUGCUGGUUUUUUCCCAUCUUUGUGGAUUUAUCUGGCUGUGGUGUCGGGAGCUGCUUGAUGAGGUUGCUUGUCUGCCCAGGAAGGCCGGGUUUCUGUAGUUCUCUAACAUCACAUUUCUAUAUAAAUUCUGCUGUGCAGUGUCUAGGCACUGCCACUCCUCCAGAGAGAAUUCUGUGGCCAUAUCCCUAAAUGUCAACGGUUCCAUUUCUAGGCUUCCAAGGGAUCCUGGCGUCUUAGCUGUGGAUCUCCAAUAUCUGCAGGUCACAGAGCCACACAAGCUAGGCAUCUAGGAGAACCGGACACAGAGAAGUGAAGACGAGCCUAACUGGCUGUUUUAAUAUAGGAAAGAUGUUAUGUGUAUGCUACUCUGGUACUCUGGCUGCUUUAUGGGAUUAUCUUAAAUAUUCUAAUACAUUUUCAGGAGAUUGUGUUGGGUUUUCCAAGGAGAUAGUAAUCUUUUCCAUUAUUGAUACUUUUAUUUUCUUCUUGCUAAUAUUUGUACCAGUUUUUAUGCUCUUAGGCAUCCCUCCUGUGUUGUAUCCUACUUAACUGGAUAUGUAUCUGGUGUUUUAUUAUUAAGAAUAAUAUGAGCUUUGGUUUGCAGUCAUUUGUAUAUUUCUUUCUAAAUUAGGGCAUAAUCUAUUCUUCAUAAAAUAAAUGAUAAAAUCUAAAUGUUAGGUUUUAUAAAAUUUCUCUUUGAUACCUACCUAUGGUGAUUACCUUGUGAUUUUUCACUUUUCGUUUAUUUAUGUGAUAGAUUAACUGAAUAGGUUUUAUAAUAUCAAAUUGGGCCAUCUCUGUAAUUGUAAAAAGUUAAUGUAUUGCUGAGUUUUAAUUGCUAGUGUUUUAUUUAGAAUUUUGUUUCUCAUUACUCAGUGAUUAAAUUGAUCCAUAGUUCUUUUAGUGCUUUGUCAAUUUUUAUAUCAGUAUUAUGUUAACUUGGUCAAAAAGAGUUUGAAAGUCUUUUGUAUUUAUUCUCUGAAACAGUUUAGAUUGAUUUGGAAUGAUCUAUUCCAUUAAGAAUUGAGAGACUUCCGAGGUGGGUGGAUCACCUGAGGUCGGGAGUUCAAGACCAGCCUGACCAACAUGGUGAAACCCCGUCUUUAAAAAAAAAAAAGAAGAAGAAUUGAGAGACUUCACCCUUAAAGUGAUGUGGACCUGAAGCUUUUUUUCCCUUGGAAGUGACUGAACAUCUUUGAUAAUAGUGCCAGGUGUGGUGGCUCACACUUAUAUUUCCAACACUUUGGGAGGCUGAGGUGGGAGGAUUGCUUGAGCCCAGGAGUUUAAGACCAGCCUGGGAACAUAGGGAGACCCUGUGUCUAAUAAAAUUUAAAAAUUAGCUGGUCAUGGUGGCAAACGUCUGUAGUCUCAGCUACUCAGGAGGCUGAAGCAGGUGGAUUGCUUGAGCCCAGGAGUGCGAAGUUGCAGUGGGCCAUGAUCUCACCACUACACUCAAGCAUAGCCGACAGAGUGAGACUCUGACUCAAAAAAAAUAAAAGAACAAAUCCUUGACAACUUUAUUGCUGUUUUUUAUAAAUAUUGGCUCUUUUAGGCUGUUAGUAAUCUCUUAGGUCAAUAUAAUUUUUAUUUAAUAAAGUCUAAAUUUGCUUUGAUUUUGAGAAAAACUAACAGAUAUUCUUAAUCUUUGUUUAAAAAAAAAUUCGAAGGUAGGUAAGUCCCAUGUUGCAGAUUAAGAAAGGCUGCCAGUAAGUGGCAGAACCAGGCCUGCGUUCACAGUCUGGCCAGGGGCCUGUUAGCACUAGUGCAAUAUAGUCUGUUUUUAGUUUCUAUUUUAGUGGAAAUUUCUUUUCAUGUGGCCUUUAAAAUUUGUUAACUGAGAGCUGCGCACAAAUAUGUGCAGUUCUUAGUCACUUUUGAUAUUUGCGAUUAUUUCUCCUUUUCUCAUUCCUAAUUGUGUGUGACUCUUAAAGAAAAUAUUUACAGUAGGAAAAACAUGACCCUUGUUGACAACAUGGCAGUAUUAUUUAUUAACAAAACAUAGUAUCACUAUUUUUUUCUUUUGUUUUCUUUACUCUUGUGAUAGAUGAAUGCAUAGUAAUUCUUUUUAAAAAAAACAAAACAGUUUUUCAAAUUUGACAGUAGCAAAACUUAACAGGUUAUCUUAUGCAAGGAGCAUGUUCUCAUUGUCUACUAAAAAUAACUCAUACACUUGUCCUGUAGAAAGAGAGCAAAAAAGACAUUUGGGUGGGAUUUAGAAGCCGCACUACAGACACUCCCUUGACUGUAGGUGUUAGAGAUGUUGCUGCGCACAGAGAUGACAGAAGGAAGCCGGAAGCUGCUACAGUAUUACCAGGUCAAGGGGUCCAGAGGCAUUCUAAUUUUAAGGUUGGUAAGAAUUUGCUUUUGUGACCUGAGAAAUCUUACAAGUUACUUUCUUUUAACUAAUGAAUCUGAAAAGUGACUAAAAUAGUUUGUAUGGUAAACCAUCUUCAUAGGGGGUCAGAUUAGGGCUCACUUUUUGAAUAAAGUUUUUGGAAUAUUCAUCUUUUUCAGAAAGUCAUCAGAAAACACAGGGCUUAAUUUUUGACUGGUGAGCUUCCUGGAGUAAAGGUUUGGUUUGGUUUUGAGUUGGAGUCUCACUCUGUCCCCCAGGCUGGAGUGCAGUGGCAAGAUCUUGGCUCACUGCAGCCUCCACUUCACAGGUUCGAGCAAUUCUCCUGCCUCAGCCUCUCAAGUAGCUGGGGUUACAGGUGCACACCACCACGGCUCGGCCAAUUUUUGUAUUUUUAGUGCAAAUUAGAUCAGCUCAGGACUCAGUGAGCUAUCAUUUUUGUUAGAUACUAUAAAGCAGUGGUACCAAAACUGGAAUGUCCAGCAGAGUCGCUGCAGGCUUGUUAAGACAGAUUUCUGCCUCCAGCUUGCUUCCAUUCAGCAGAUUUGGGGUGGGACCUGAGAAUUUGCAUUUCUUUUUUGUAGAGACAGGAUUUCACUAUCUUGGCCAGGCUGAUCUUGAUCUCCUGACCUCGUGAUCCACCCGCCUCAGCCUCCCAACAUGCUAGGAUUACAGGCGUGAGCCACCGCGCCUGGCCUUGCAGUUCUAACCAGCUCAUAGGUGACCCUAACUGCGGUGGUCAGGGGCCACACUCUGAGAAGCUGUGCACUAAAGGAAUGGAUUAGCAGAAUAUAGUCAGUAAAGAAUUUAUUUUAUUUUUUAUUUUUUUGAGAUGGAGUUUUGCUCUGUCAUCAGGCUGGAGUGCAGUGGCGUGAUCUCAGCUGACUGCAACCUCCGCCUCCCAGGUUCAAGUGAUUCUCCUGCCUCAGCCUCCUGAGUAGCUGGGACUACAGGUGCACGCCACCAUGUCCAGCUAAUUUUUUUGUAUAUUUAGUGGAGAUGGGAUUUCACCAUGUUGACCAGGUUGAUCUCAAUCUCUUGACCUCGUGAUCCUCCCACCUCAGCCUCCCAAAGUGCUGGGAUUACGGGCUUGAGCCACCAUGCUUGGCCAGUCAGUAAAAAAUUAGUAGAAACAAGUUGGCUAAGAAAUCAUUUAUCCACUUUCUGUAUUUUGGGUAUAUUAUUGGGAAUUUCUAAUUUUAUUUAUUUUGAGACAAGGCCUCACUCAAGUCACCCAGGCUGGAGUGGCGUGCAGUAGCAUUACCAUGGCUUCCUGCAGCCUUGAACUCCUGGGCUCAAGCAAUGCUCCAGCCUCAGACUCCUAAGGAGCUCAUACUACAGGUGUGUACCAUCAUGCCUGGCUAAGUUUUUUUAUUUUUUUUUAAAUUGAUACUCAUAUAUACACCUUUAUUUGUACUGAAAAUUGUAAAAAGAACACAAAGUUUCCUCUUAAUGCAACCCAAAUUUUUCUUACUGUUGUGCUCUAGGCAAGCUACCCAGUGCUUUCUUUACCCACAAGUGACUUUACUUCACAUUCUUGAUACUGGCUUUCAUCUCGCUGACUUUGGGCUUCUAAAACACAUGAGGAUACUUAGGUCCUCUUGGCUUCUUUGAGUCAAAUUAAACAGUAGAGCUGAAGUAUACUGAAGUUAUUUGGAUGCCUUCAGACUACAGAGAUCCCUUAUACAUCAGUAGUAUCGCUGUAGAAAGGAAAAGAUAAAAGAAAAAAUACAUCCUAGAACUCAUUAUGAAAGUUUUUCCUAUAUAGUUUAUUGUAGCAUGGAGUAGCUUUCUCAACCUGCUGCAUGAAAUUACCAGCAAGAAAAAAAAAGUACAAGAAUAAGGCUUAUGGCUGACGUGGCUCAUUGUUGUAAUUCUCUUUUGUAGCAUUCUCAGAAGGUUCCCAUCUGUUACACACACACAAACUACAGCAACAUCUGAAUCGUCCACUUCUUGAUUCAUUCUGAACUCCCUUAAGCCCAGUCAGUGUUAGUUCUAUUUCAUGCCUAGCUCUGCCCAGUAACAGGUAUCUCAAUUUUGCCAUCCUUUUUGCGUAGACGGCAGUGUUCGUACUCUUCUCCUGUAAAUCAAGUCAUCUCUGAUUUCUUUGAAGAUCGUUGCUCCCCCAUACACUGUUGUUGGGGUGAACCUUCCAGCAUAGGGGCAGGGAAUUUGGUAGUAGGGUUGAUUGUCAAGUUACUAAGGUUCGUUAUCAACAUUUUGGAGCGGAAGUUUUGAGAGGCCCCUGACCUGGGAAUUUUCUUCAGUGAGUGUUUGUGAAGAUUCUUGGGACCAAGGUUGGAUUAAACUUUUGUGAUGGGUACAUUAGCAGUCAUGACACAACACUUACCUUCUCCUGGAUCUUUGAAACCCAGCAGAAAUUGAUGACGAACUCUCAGAUUGCCAGAAGAUAGACCAGAAAGAGCCUGAAACGCAAACUCCAACCAAUUUUUUUUCUUUUACUUUUAAUGCAGACAAGGUGUUGCUAUGUUUGCCUGGGCUGGCCUUGAACUGAGCUUAAGCUGACCUCCUGUCAUGGCCACCCAAAGUGCUGGGUUUACAGGUGUGAACCAUCAUGCCUGUCUGGAAUUUCUAAUAUUUAAUAGCAAGAGAAAUAAUACUGUACAGUUGUCUGUUGCUUUUCACUUUUUCAUGCGAAGUCAUGCAUUAAAAUAAUGCAAAGAAAUAAUGGAAUUUUAUAUUAAGCACAUCUUAAUUUGGCCUCUUUUAAAAGAUAACAAAAAUAGUUUAUAGAAUGAAAUUCUGCAGUCCAGUGAAUUAAUACAGCAUCAUGCAGAAUGUAUGUAACUUGCGUGGGCACAGAUGUUUAGUAGACAUGUUAAGCAGUCUAGGAUCUUAUGAUGAUAAUGGAAAAUGAGCAUAGAUGUUCUGUAGAAUGUAUGAUUCAGGAUGUACCUACCUUCCUAUGAUAAUUAAUCAUGAAUUUUCUUUCUUUCUUUUCUUUUUUUUUUUUGAGAUGGAGUUUUGCUCUUGUUGCCCAGGCUGGAGUGCAAUGGCAUGAUAACAGCUCACUUCGACCUCCGCCUCCAGGGUUCAAGCAGUUCUCCUGCCUCAGCCUCCCAAGUAGCUGGGAUUACAGGUGCCCGCCACCAAGCCCAGCUAAUUUUUUGUUUUUUGUUUGUUGUUGUUUGUUUGUUUUUGAGAUGGAGUUUUGCUCUCAUACCCACGCUGCAGUGGCAGUGGCGCAAUCUCAGCUCACUGCAACCUUCACCUCCUGGGUUCAAGUCAUUCUUCUGCCUCAGCCUCCUGAGACUACAUGCGUGUGCCACCACGCCACACUAAUUUUUUAUAUUUUUAGUAGAGACAGGAUUUCACCGUGUUAGCUAGGAUGGUUUUAAUCUCCUGACCUCAUGAUCUGCUCACCUCAACCUCCCAAAGUGCUGAGAUUACAGGUGUGAGCCACUGCACCCAGCCCAUUUUUUGUAUUUUUAGUAGAGAUGGGGUUUCACCAUGUUGGCCAGGCUGAUCUUGAACCCCUGACCUCAGGUGAUCAGCCAACCUCGGCCUCCCAAAGUGUUGGGAUUACAAGCAUGAGUCACUGUGCCUAGCCUCAUGAAUUUCUUUUUUAGACUUCUUAAUUAAAUGGGAUUGCAUGUGUGUAUUAAACGGAUUGACACACACAUGGUACUCAGUAUACGUAGCAGCAGCAGCAGUAACAGCAGCACCUCAGACUGCCUUCUGCAGAUGUAGGGGCUAAGUGCUUUCAAGCCUGGCAUGGGCUCUGGAAUAAGCUGCCUCAUUUCACAUCCAGGCUUCGCUAAUUAUUAGCUAUGGGAAACUUAUUUAAUCUCUCUGGGCUUUAGUUUUUUUGGCUUUUAAUUGAGGAUAAUAGUAGCUGCCAUUGAGAAUUGUUGUAUCAGUUAAAAAUGGAUAAAAAUCUCUAUCUUACAGAACCACGUCAAUUAAAUGAGGUGAUAUAUGUAACAUUAUUAGCAUAGUACAUAGGUUUACAGAAAACCUUUCAGAGAAUACUGAGUAGUGAACUGGCAAGGUGCUUUGCCACAUAAAAUAUUUGAGAUAGCCACAAAACAUUUGAAGUGAUAAUGAGACUGCUUUUCUGAUAUUUUCAGAAAACAUUUUUUGGUAGUAAAAAUAGCUGUUGAACUUGGUGGCACAUUCCUGUGAUCCCAGCUCCUUAGGAGGCUGAGGCAGGAGGAUUUCUUUAGGCCAGGAAUUUGACACCAGCCUGGGCAACAGAUCGAAAUCCUGUAUUAAGUUUUAAAAAGUUGAUGUUUAUUAUAGAAAAUUAGCACAGAAAUGCCCAGAAAAGAAAAUCUUGGCCUGUAAGCCUAUAACCUAGUCAUACUUAGUGCUAAAGAAACCAUACAUCUGAUGUUUUCUCUACUAGGCUUUUAUCUAUAAUCAUGUAUCUUUUUAUUUUUUUAGAUGGAGUCUUGCUCUGUUGCCAGGUGGAGUGCAGUGGCCUGAUCUCAGCUCACUGCUACCUCCCCCUCCCAGAUUUAAGCAGUUCUCCUGCCUCAGCCUCCCUAAAACCUGGAACUAUAGGCGCACGUCACCAGGCCCAGCUAAUAUUUGUAUUUUUAGUAGAGAUGGAGUUUCACCAUGUUGGCCAGGCUGGUCUCGAACUCCUGACCUCGUGAUCCACCCUCCUCAGCCUCCCAAAGUGCUGGGAUUACAGGCAUGAGCCACCGCACCCGGCUUUAUCUUUUCUAAAGUCAGAGUUGGAGUAGUAUUUCCAGUUAACUUUGUGGCUGAUUAUUUUCUAUAACACAAACAGAAUGAAUGUUUAGCAUAACAACAAUGAAGAUUUUUAUUUGACGGAUCUCCUAGGUGGCCACCUUGAAGAGUAACUUAGACACGUGCCACUUAACAAUGGGGGUGAUUAAAUUAAAAAAAAACAAUGGGGGUGAAAUGCAUCCUUAGGUGAUUUUGUUACUGUGGGAAGAUCAUAGAGUGUAGUUUAGAUAGCAUAGCCUAUCAUACACCUAGGCUAUAUAGUAUACCCUGUUGCUCCUAGAUUAUAAAUCUGUACAUCAUGUUACUGUAAUGAAUACUGUGGGCAGUUGUAACACAAUGCCACAGUGCUAAGUAUUUAUAAACCUAAACAUUUCUAUACAUAGAAAUGGUAUGGUAAAAAAUAGUGUAUAAAAGAUUUAAAAUGGCAUACCUGACUAGGCACUCUGUCCCAUGCCUGCAAUCCCAGCACUUUAGGAGGCUGAGGCAGGAGGAUCACUUGAGCCCAUAAGUUGGAGACUGACCUGGGCAGCACAGAUCCUGGUGUGUGUGUGUGGUGGUAGGGGGUGAGGGAGAGGCUGUCGUGUAUGUGUAAAAUAGACCUAUAUAAGGCAUUUACUAUGAAUGGUGUUUGCAGGACUGGAGGUUUCUGUAGGUGAGGGAAAGUGGUGAGUGAAAGAUGUCUGAGAAUGUUGCUGUAUACUGCUUUAGACUUUAUACACACUUUGUACACUGAGGCCACACUAAAUUUAUUUUUUUUCAAUUUUAUUAAUAAAUUAACCUUAGCUUACUUCGGUUGUUUUUGUUUUGAGAUGGAGUCUCGUUCUUUCACCAGGCUGGAGUGCUUUGGCACAAUUUUGGCUCACUGUGACCUCCAGUUUCCUGGUUCGAGCGAUUCUCCUGCCUUAGCCUCCUGUGUAGCUGUGAUUACAGGCACAUGCCACCAUGGCCAGCUAAUUUUUUUUGUAUUUGUAGUAGAGAUGGGGUUUCGCCAUGUUAGCUAGGCUGAUCUCAAACUCCUGACCUCGUGAUCUGCCUGUCUCGGCCUCCCAAAGUGCUGGGAUUACAGGCACGUGCUACCACACCCAGCUGUAAACUUAUGUUUUUUAAAAAAACUUCUUUAUUCUUUUGUAUUAACACUUAGCUUAAAGCACAAACAUGUUACAACAUGUACAGCUGUACAAAAGUAUUUGUGCUUAUUCAUAAACUUUUUUCUAUUUUUUUUUUCAAUUUUCAAUCUGUUUUGUUAAAAACUAAAACACAAACAUGUACACACACACCCUCUAGCCUAGGCCUGCAUAGGGUCAGGAUCAUGAAUAUCACUCUUUCACCUCCACAUCUUGUCACACUGAAAGGUCUUCAGAGGCAGUAACACGUAUGGAGGCUCUAAUCUCCUGUGAUGACAGUGCUGCCUUCUGGAAUACCUCCCGUAGGUCCUGCCUUGAGGCUGUUUUACAGUUAACUUAAAACGUAGGACUGUACUCUAAUAAAGUGUAGUAAAUACAUAAGCCAGUAACAUAGUCAUUUGUUAUCAUUAUUGAGUAAUUGAGCCCCGCUUUUAUAUAGUUGGUGGUACAUAGAUUUGUUGACAGCAGAAGUGUCACAGACACGUGAGUAAUGCCUUGUGCUAUGACAGUGUGAACUGCUAUGUCUCUAGGCCAUUGGAAUUGUUCAGCUCCAUGAUGAUCUUAUGGGACUGCUGUAUAUGAGGCUGUACUUAGAAGAAAAACGAUUGUCUUUGUUACUUUAGCAGCUACAGGUCAAGUUAAAUACCUACCUAUAUUUAUUUUUAAAAUAUUAUUUUACUUUUAUUAUAUUUGGAGGUAUAAUUUACAUAGCAUGAAAUACACAGAUCUUAUAUUUGUUAAAACCCUUUAUCUGCAGAACCCACACCCCGUCAAAAUUCAAGACAUUUUUCUUAACCCAGAAUGUUCCUUUGUAUGCCUCCCUUUUUCUGUCCCCACUCAACCCCCACAGUUACUGCUAAUAUCUUUCACCAUGAAUUGCUUUGCUUGUUCUCAGACUUCAUAUAAUGGAAUAAUAUAGUACGUGCUUAUUUAAUACGACUUCUUUUGCUCACACUUGUUUUCUGAGAUUCAUCCAUGUAGUUGGCAUGAACUGGUUCUUUGUUAUUACUAAGUGGUAUUCUGUUGUAUGACUAUAGCAUAGUUUGCUUGUCCAUUCUCCCAUUAAUGGACAUUGGGAUGGUUUCCAGUUUGAAGCUAUUAAGAAUAAAUCUUCUGUGAACAUUUUUGUACAAGUUUUUUUGUGGGCAUGUAAAUUUUCAUUUCUCUUAAAUAGGAAUGAAAUUGACUGUAUAAGUAGGAGUCAGCAGUCUAAGGGCAAACUAUAUCUCAUAGGCCACAUCCAGCUCCAUGACCCGUUUUUAUAUGGCCUGCCACAUAAGAAUGGGUUUUAUAGUUUUAAAGGAUUAUUUAAAAAGAAAAUCUGGGAUGGAAACUAUAGGUUAUCGGCAAAGACUAGAUUAUUUACUAACUGUCCCUUGAUAGAAAAAAAUCCCUGUAAUCUGUUCUAGUUUGUUCAGUUGAUCUAUUUUUCUAUCCAUUUAGUUUGUUCCUUAGGAAAUCUUUUAAAGAUUUUUUUGUUUUUUGAGGUAGAGUCUUGCUCUGUCGCACAGGCUAGGGUGCUGCCCAGGCUGGGGUGCAGGGGCAUGAUCUCAGCCCACUGCAACCUCUGCCUCCUGGGUUCAAGCGAUUCUCCUGCCUUAGCCUCCUGAGUAGCUGGGACUGCAGGCACCUGUCACCAUACCCGGGUAAUUUUUUGUAUUUUUAGUAGAGACAGGGUUCCAUCAUGUUAGCCAGGGUAGUCUCGAUCUCCUCACCUUGUGUUGUGCCUGCCUCAGCCUCCCAAAGUGCUGGGAUUACAGGCAUGAGCCACAGUGCCUGGCCCUAAAGAUUUUAUUUUUUUGGAGUAGUUUGGGCUUUACAACUAAAUGAAGGUACAGAGAUUUUUCCAUCUAUCCUCUGUUUCCUAGUUCAUAGUCUCCCCCAUUAUCAGCAUCCUCCCCAACUCCCCUGUCUAGAAUGGUACAGUUUGUCACAAUCAAUAAACCUAUAUUGACAUGUCAUAAUGAACCCAAAGUCUGUAGUUUUCAUUAGGGUUCACUCUUGGUGUUGUACAUUCUCUGGGCUUGGACAAAUGUAUAAUGAUGUGUGCAUCUUUGUAGUGUCAUGCAGAGUAUUUUCACUGCCCUAAAAGUCCUCUGUGUUUCACUUCUUCAUCCCUCUCUCCUCCCCCCAAACCCUGGCAACCACUGAUUGUCUCCGUAUUUUGCCUUUUUGUAAAGUUACAGUCAUACAGUGUGUAGUCUUUUCUGAUUGGCUUCUUUCAUUUGAUGAUAUGUAUUUAAGGUUCCUCUGGAUCUUUUCCCUUUACCUACUGAAGGACUUCAUGGUUGCUCCCAAGUUUUGACAGUUAGGAAUAAACUUAACCAUAAACAUUUAUGUGCAGGUUUCUGUCUAGAUAAAAGUUUUCACCUCUUUUGAGUAAUUACCAGUGAGCACAAUUGCUGGAUUAUGUGGUAAAAAAGUCUGCUUAGUUUUGUGAGAAACUGCGGAAAUAUCUUCCACAGUGUCUGUAACUUUUUGCAUUCCUACCAGUGAUGAUUGAGAGCUCCUGUUGGGUACAUCCUGCCAGCAUUUGGUGUUGACAGUGUUCUGGAUUUGGCUAUUCUAAUAAGCGAAUAUUGGUAUCUCAUUGUUUUAAUUUGCAUUUCUCUGAUAUGAUGUGGAUCAUCUUUUCAUAUGCUUAUUUGCCAUCUAUGUAUCUUUGAUGACGUAUGUGUUAGGGUUUUUGGUUCAUUUUUAUACCAGGUCAUUGUUAAUUGUUGAGUUGUGAGAGUUCUUUGUAUAUUUUUGCAAAUAGAUCUUUAUCAGAUGUGUCUCUUGCACAUAUUUUCUCCCAGUCUGUGGCUUGUGUUUUCAUCUUCUUGACAUGAACUUUGAAGGGACAGUUUUUAAUUUUAAUGAAGUCCAUUUUAUUAUUUCGUGGGUGAAACUUUGAUAGAUGUACUUUAGUUUUACAGUAAGUUUUAAAGUCAUGUUACUUAGUUUCUUGUUUUCAUUUCUGUUUAAUUCCUAGAUUUUAGAUCAUUAUUUGUUGCUGGUAUGGAGAAGUAUAAUAAUUUUUUUCUGUACUAAUGUAUCUGUGGCCCUGCUAAACUCACUGAUUGAUUUUUUAAGAUGUCUUAGAAUUUUCUGGACCAUGUUGUCUGAGAAUAAAAAUAGUUGCAUCUUUCUUUUUCUUUCUUUCUUUUUUUUUUCUUUUUUGAGGAGGAGUCUUGCUCUGUCGCCCAGGCUUUAGUACAGUGGCGUGAUCUUGGCUCACUGCAACCUGUAUCUCCCUGGUUCAGGCGAUUCUCCUGCCUCAGCCUCCCGAGUAGCUGAGAUUACAGGCGUGCACCACCUUGCUUGGCUAAUUUUUGUAUCUUUAGUAGAGACGGGUUUUCACCAUGUUGGUCAGGCUGGUCUUGAACUCCUGACAUCAUGAUCUGCCUUCCUUGGCCUCCCAAAGUGCUGGGAUUACAGGCAUGAGCCACCUCACCCAGCUACUUCUUCCUUUUUCAUCUGUAUGCAUUUUAUUUAUUUUUCUGGCUUUAAGGUUCUGCCUAGGACCUCUAGUACAGUGUUUAAUAAAAGCAAUGACAGUGUGCAUCCCAUUUCUUACUCUUGAUUUGUGGAAAAAAACAUUCAGCCUUUCACUUAGUAUGAUAUUAGUUGUAGGCUUUGGGUAUCAUUCAUUAGGAUGAGUAAUUUUGUUUCUAGUUUGCUGAGUCUUUUGGUCAUAAGUUAUUACUGAAUUUUGUCACAUCUUUUCUUCAUUUAUUGAGAUGAGUCAUAGGGUGGUUUUUUUCUUUUUUCGAAUGUGAAUUACAUCUUUCUGAAUGUUGAACCAACCUUGCAUUCCUGUGACAUAACCCUACUUGAUUGUGGAGUGUUAUCUUUUUUUAUAUAUUACUGGAUCUGAUUUAUUAAAAUAUUGUACAGGAUUUAUGCUUCCACAGUAAGGUGCUACCUAUCGAACUUUGGUCAACAGCAGACUACAUAUCCAACUGUGGUCCUGUAAAAUUAUAAUAUGUUUUUGCUGUGUCUUUUCUACAUUUAGAUACACAAAUACUUGCAGUUGUGUUACAGGUAUCUCCAGUAUUCAGCACAAUAACAAGCUGUACAGGUUUGUAGCCUGGGAGCAGUGGGCUAUACCAUAUAGCCCAGGUGUGUAGUAGGCUGCACCAUCUGGGUUUGUGUAAGUACAUUCUGUGAUGUUCCCACAGUGACCAGAAUUACCUAAUGACACUUUUCUCAGAAGAUAUCCUUGUCUUCGGCCAAAGCAUGAUUAUAUAUUAAUGACUGAUAUGGAUCUAUAAUUUUCUGGUUUUUUACAGUGUUCUUACUGGUUUUGAUAACAGUAAUACACUGGCUUCAUGACGUUACCUGGAAAUGUUUCCUCUCUUCUGAAAGAGUUCAUCUUAUAUUAUUUUUUCCUUAAAUGUUUUAUAAAAUUCACCAGUGAAGCGAUCCAGGUCUGGCGUUUUCCUUGUGGGAAGGUUUUUAAGUUAUGACUUAAUUACUUUAGUAGGUGUUAAGCUAUUCAGAUUUUCUGCUUCUUGUGCUAAUUUUGGUAAUUUGUAUUUUUAAGUAAUAUAUCCAUUUUAUUUAAGUUCUUGAAUUGAUUUGGCAUGAAGGUGUUCACAACAUUUCUCUUUUCUUUUUUCUUUUUUUUAAUUGAGAUGGAGUGUCACUCUGUUGCCCAGGCUGGAGUACAGUGGCACAAUCUCAGCUCACUGCAACCUCCACCUCCUGGGUUCAAACAGUUCUCCCACCUCAGCUUCCCAAGUAGCUGUGAUUACAAGUACAUUUUUUUAUAUUUUUAGUAUAAGUGGGGUUUCGCCCUUUUGGCCAGGCUGGUGUUGAACUCCUGACCUCAAGUGAGGCGUCUUCCUCCGCCUCCCAAAGUGCUGGGAUUAUAGGUGUGAGCCUCCACACCCGGCCUCUCUACUGUUUUCUUAAUGUGCAUAGAAUUUUUAGUAAUGUCUGGUGUGCUCUCUUGUUUUUCCCUGUUGUUCUAGGUUGGGGUUUAUCAAUUUACUGAUAUUUUCAAACAGCCAGCUUUUGAUUUUGUCAGCCUUUUCUUGUUUGUUUUCUGUGUCAUCAUUUCUGUCUUUAUUUGCUUCUGCUUAUUUUGGGUUUUCUUUGGGGUAGAAGUUUAUAUCAUUGAUUUUAGCCUUAUCCAAUAUUAACAUUUGGGCAAUAAGUUUCUCCUUAAACCCUAUGCUCCUUUUUCAUUUCCUCAUUUCUUUGAAUCCUUUUAAUCUGUAAACAUCAAAACGUGCCCCAAAUACUGUUCUUAAUUGCAUCUCAUAAAUUAUAAUAAAUUUUUAAAGUUAAUCUGAAAUAUUUUUAUUUUUUACAUUUGAUUUAUUCUUUGACCCAUGGAUUAUGCUGAAAUGUGUUUAGCUUUUAAAUAUUUAGGAAUUUUGCAGAUUCUUUCUACUGGUUUCUAACUCCGAUGUGUUCAGAGAACAUACUCGGUAUGAUUGUUAUGGAAAUUGCAGACUUGUCUUAUGGCCCAGGGAUGGUUUUUCUUUUUUUUUUAAUUGUUAUUUAUUUAUUUUUUUGAAACAGAAUUUCACUCUUGUUACCCUGACUGGAGUGCAGUGGCACCAUCUCAGCUCACUGCAGCAUCCCAGCACUUUGGGAGGCCACACUUGAGUUUGAGACCACCCUGGCCAACGUGGUGAAACCUGUCUCUACUAAAGAUAUAAGAUAAAUUAGUAGCCAGGCAUGGUGGUGCUUGUCUGUGGUAGCAGCUGCUUUUGGGGGGGCCUGAGACACAAAAAUUGCUUAAAUCCACAGACAGAGGUUGCAGUGAGCUGAGAUUCCACCACUGCACUCCAGCCUGGGCAUGAAGCAAGACUCUGUCUCAAAAAAAAAGAAAAAAAACCAAAAAACGAAUGUGUAUCCUAUGGUUAUGGGAUGUGCUGUUUCAUAAUUGUCAACUAGAAUAAGUUGGUUGAUUAUAUUCAAAUCCUUACUGAUUAUUUUUUGUUCUGUUGGUUACUAGGGGAGGAUUAUUAAAAUCUACUAUUAUAAUUAUAGGUUUGUCUGGUUUUUCUUUUAGUCAGAACAAAAUGUAACUACUUAUUUCUUGUGCUUUAAAUCUCUUUUUAUUAGGUGAAUAUGUAUUUUAGAUUGUUAGGCCUAUGGUAAAUUUAGCAUUUUAUCAUUACAAAAUUUUUGUUGUUGUUGUUAAUAUUGUCUGUCUUUGUAUCUUCUUUUUCUCAUAUUUAAUGUAGACUCUGACUUUCUUAUGAUUAGCAUUCACAGAGUUUGGGUUUUUUCCCCACUCUUUUUGUUUUGAUAACAAGAUUUCACUCUCACCCAGGCUAGAGUGCAGUGAGUGGUACAAUCUGGGGCUUACUGUAACCUCUGCCCCCCACCCAGGAUCAAGUGAUCUUCCCACCUCAACCUCCCAAGUAGCUAGGACCACAGGCAUGCAUCACCACGCCUGGCUAUUUUUUUGUAUUUUUAGGAGAGACAGGGUCUCAACAUGUUGCCCAGGCUGGUCUCGAACUCCUGAGCUCAAGCAGUCUGCCUACCUCGGCCUCCCAAAGUGCUGGAAUUACAGGCAUGAGCCACCACACCCAGCCCACUCUUGGUCUUUACAUUUAAAAUAUGUCUCUUGUAAGCAGCAUAGCAGUAGAUCUUGUUUUAAUUUGUUCUAAUAACCUUAGUCUUUUAAUUGUAGUGUUCAGUUUAUUUAUAUUUAUUGUUGAUAAUUGUUGGGUUUAGGUCUCUGAUCUUGUUUUCUGUUUGUCCCUUCUGUGUUUUGUUCCUUUUUUUCUCCUUUCCUGCUCUUCUUUUAGAGGCAAAUUCCAACAUCUCUGUCAUCUAUGUAUCUGUUUCAUUUGCAGUCUUUUGUUUGUUUAAAUGUAGAAUUCCUGGUUAUGGGUCAUAUCUUCCUGCUCCGUGGCAUGUCCAGUACUUUUAGGCUGUGUAGUGGACAUUGUGGGUGAUAAUGUUGUUGAAUAUGGGUUUGAUUGUCUUUUGUUAGUGUGUUUUGUUCUGACAGGCACUUAAUUACUCAGAUCAGUUUGAUUCUCUCAAGGCUUGUUUUUAAACUUUCUUAGGGCACGUCUCAAGAAGCCCUGUUCCUUAGACGUGGUAUUUUUUGGGGGUCUCAGUUUAAUUCCUGGGGGUGUUCAGCAAGAUCUUGAAACUCUGGCUGAUCAGAACAUCUGUGUCUCUAGCUCUGUGCCACCUCCAGAAUCUGUUCCUUUCACAAUUCCUUAGUAGUCCUGCAUGCUUAGGUACAGCUCCAGUAAGCCCUAGGAGUUGUUGGUGAUGUGGUGGUUGUGUGUGGUCACACUGGGAGAUACUCUCCAUUUUAAUGGUGAGCAUAACAUUAUGGCAUAAAAUGGUUGUCCCAUAGUGACUGUGUAUUUCACACUUUAAACAGUAUCUCAUCUUCUGAAUCGUCUGAGGAUUAAGUUUUCAGUGUGGAAACCUGGUAAGUGCCACAUCCAACAUUCUUAAUGUAAAUGGGUCCAAAUCAUAACUUCAAGACCAACUUUUCCAAAAUAUUUUUGCUAUAGUUUAAAAAGAGUUACAUUCAUACAAAUUACUGUAGACAGUAAUUUGCUGUCCAUCUGUCACCAAGUUAAAAUAUCUAAGGGUUUUUAUGUUGAUUACCAUGUAGUUUUUUUGGCAUUUUUCAAAAUUAUAUAUAUGUCUAUAGCAUAAAAUUUCAGUGUGAUCCUGGUAUGAGCAAGGAUAACAAUUACUAUAUUUAUUCUUCCUGAAUUACGGUAAGAGGAAGAAUAGAAAAGGACAUGCUUAUUGUACUGGGCACUGUGCUGGGUGCUUUGCAAACAUGAACUUGCUUCAUCUCAUUUUUAAUAAUCCUGUGAGGUGGCUGCCAUAUGUCUUUUAUAACAAGGAGUAAAAUAUUCUGAACCAUUUUUCCUGCCUAUCCAGGAAAUUAUUCAAGAUGACACAUGUUGGAAAGUGGCAGACUUUUACUUAAAAUCUACCUGUGAUUGACUCCAAACCUGUAUUUUUUUCUGCUGCAUCUUUUUGUCUGUAAUAUAGCUGGAUUCAAAAUAUGGUGGGGAAAGACGUGAGACCCUGUUUUCCAUGUGUGGGUCAAGUUACUUCCCCAUACAGAAAAUUUGUAGAACAGAUAACUGGGAGAGUGAGUCUAAUUUCCCGAGAGUAUUUUUGUCAAAUGAAAGAAUUUAUUGCUUAUAUCUUUCUAGAAACACACCCUUGUAUGCUAUAAGCUUUGCCUGUGGUCUGAUUGGACUGUGGCUCUUCAUCUGAAGUAUUAAUUCAGCCAAGCAGUUUUUGUAAGACCCAUAAAGAAGUCAGCUUUUCUGGCUAUAAAAAUUAUAAUAUUUAUUUUUCUUUUCUUAAUUAUUUUUCUUUUCUUUUUUUUUUUGUGAAACAGUCUCGCUCUGUCGCUCAGGCUGCAGUGCAGUGGCGUGAUCUCAACUCAGUGCCAUCUCUGCCUCCUGGGUUCAAGUAAUUCUCCUGCUUCAGCCUCCCAAGUAGCUGAGACUGCAGGUGUGAACCACCACACCCAGCUAAUUUUUAGUAGAAACGGGGUUUCCCCGUGUUGGCCAGGAUGCUCUCAAUCUCCUGACCUCAUGAUCCUCCCACCUUGGCCUCUCAAAGUGCUGGGAUUACAGGCAUCAGCCACCGCGCUCAGCAUAAAUACUUUUCUUAAACAUGAUUUUUAAAAGUGAUCUUGGCCAGCUGCAGUGACUCACACCUGCAAUCCCAGCACUUAAGGAGGCUAAGGCAGGAGGAUUGCUUGAGCCAAGGAGUUUGAGACCAGUGUGGGCGACACAGUGAGACUACAUCUCUACAGAGCAUUUAAAAAUCAGCUGAGUGUGGUGGCACAUGCCUUGUAGUCCCAGCUACUCGGGGAGCUGAGGUAGGAAGAUUGCUUGAGUUCAGGAGGCCAAGACUGCAGUGAGCUGUGAUUGCAUGCAUCACUGUAUUCCAGUUUGGGUGACAGAGUGAGGCCCUGUUUCAAAAAAAAAAUAAAAAUUAAGAUCCCUUUCUUUUAAAAAAAAAAUAUUUGUCUUACAUUAUGUAGCAAAGAAAGGUUUGAUGUGUAAUGUUCUGAGUUUUUAAAAUUUUCAAAACAAGAACAAAGGAUAGUGUAACCGACACCUUUGUAGAAUUCAUGCCUGUUGAUAUUUAUCAUUUCUUUCAUAGUUUUUUUUUCUUUUUAUUUUUUAAGUAGACUUAAAUUAACCUCAGCCUCCACCUUCCAGGUUCGAGUGAUUCUCCUGCCUCAGCCUCCUGAGUAGCUGGGAUUACAGGCAUGCACCACCGUGCCUGGCUAAUUUUAUAUUUUUAGUAGAGUCGGGGUUUCUCCACGUUGGUCAGGCUGGUCUCAGACUCCCUACGUCAUGUGAUCUGCCUGCCUCAGCCUCCCAAAAUGCUGGGAUUACAGGUGUGAGCCACCGUGCCUGGCCUAAGCCUCAACUUUCUGAGGAGGUGAAGCUACAAGUGGGUGCAAGUAAGUGGACUGUUGAGAACAGUUUUAGAUUUACAGGAAAAUUGAAAGAUAGUACAGUAGAUUCUGUACCUCCUCCCCACCGCCCACACACUCCUAGUGUUAGCCUGUCACAUUUCUUUUGUUGUAUUUGUCACAAGUAAUGAACCAAUAUUGAUAUCUGUGAUUAACUGAAGUCCAUACUUCAAUCAGAUUUUCUUAAUUUUCCCCUAAUGUCCUCUUUGAGGGUCUCAUUCACUACACCACAUUACUUUUAAUCAUCACGUCUCUUUAGGCGCCUGUGGGCUAUGAUGUUUUCUCGGACUUUCCUUAGUUUUCAGUGACCUUGACAGUUUUCAGGAGAGCCCGUCAGAUGUAUUGCAGGAUGCCCCUCUGUACACAUUUGUCUGCUGUUUUUCUCAUGGUGAGACUGGGUUUAUGCGCUUCUGAAAGGAAGAUCAUAGCAGCCAACGGCCAUUUUUACCACAUCACAUUGAGGGCGCAUUCUGUCAGUGUGACUUACCACUAUGGUUGAUGCUGCCCAUAGCCACCUGGCUGAAGUCGUGCCUCUCGAGUUUCUCCACUGUAACGUUUGCUUCACUCCUCCAUGCCAUCCUUUGUUUAAGGGUAGGAGGUUUACACUCUACCUUAAUGCAGAGUAUCUACAUGAUUUAUUUGGUCUUUUUCGGUGUAUAAGAUCUGUCUCUUCAUAGUUUUUUACUAAAUGAAAUCAAUUUGUAAAAAUCAAGGAAUCUUUCACAUGAUACAUAUUCAUCUUAUCUUUUUUGUUGGUUUUUUUUUUAAAUUAGAUUGGGUCUGGUUCUGUCACCCAGGCUGGAGUGAAAUGGUGUUAUCUCAGCUCACUGCAGCUGCCUGCAGGGCACAAGCAGUCCUCCCGUCUCAGCCUCCCAAGUAGCUGGGACUACAGGAGUACCGCACUGUACCCAGCUGUUUUCUGGAGAGAUGGGGUUUUGCCAUGUUGGCCUAGGCUGGUCUCAAACUCCUGAGCUCAAGCAGUCCACCACGCUUGGCCUUAUCUUGCUUUUUUAAGAACAGUAUUAAAAUUCAUGCACAUAGAUUUGAUUCAUUUAUUCUAACCUGUUCAUAUGACUGAAUUCUUGUUAUAUUUUUUUUCUUUUACAGGGUUCUCUAUUGUUUAUGCUUUUGAGGAUACACAGUGACAUUUUAAUGAAAACUUUGUCUCUUAUAAGAGGUUUAAAUGGUGUGGCUGGAUCUCAGAAACAAGAAAUUUGUCUUAGUAAUUUAAAAAGUAAAGGCAAAGUUACUCACAGAUUAGGUUUCCCUCUGGCAUCUUUAAUCAUCUUUGAUUUACUUUAUAAAAAAUGCAUCCUUUGUUGUCGGAAGAGGACUGAGCCCGUUCCUCAGUGCUCUACUAAGGCAAGUGUCCAGAGCCCUUGAGACACUCAGGGCUAGGAAUUGAAUGCCAGUGACAUUUCCUUGUCAGGAAGUGUAAAUGCUUAUCAACUGAUUUAAAUUCUAAGGCCUUACUUCCAUAGAUACACAUCUGUGCAAUUACUACAUAUUUUUGGAUAAGAAUGUGGCAGUGUGGUUUGUGGCUUUCAAAAAAAUGGCACGUGGUCUAAAGUAAUGUGAUUGCAGGGAUUGCUUUUUUAUUUACGAAGUAAAAUCUUAAUGCUCUUAGCAGUGAGUCGUAUUAUUCAUUUCAUGUUUUUCUGCCAAGUAAUUAAGAAUGAGCUGGAAAACAAGCCAGCUGAAAUCCUUCCUAGAACAAAGCAAGAGAUAGAUAAUACUGAGAAAUGCCAACUUUAGACAUUGUCUUGCAAUUAUUGACUUUAUAAAUUAUUGCAGUAAGGAUGCUUGCCUAUUUUCAGUAUUGUAGAAAGUCUGUUCAUUGUCUAGAGUCCUGUCUGAUGUUAGAGAUGUUCUGUGCUCUAUUUUUAGAAAGAGAUCUUAAAGGCACCUCAAGAUUGCACAGUGCUUUGUGGUUUUCAGAGCAUUUUCUCAUGUGCUAUCCCAUUUAAAUCAGAAACAGGAAGUUAGAGCAGUCCUGUGUGAAUGGCAAAUAGGCGUGUAUAUAUCAGCGAUGAAUGAGCAUACUGAUGAGGCACAGGGAGUGAUGGGGCCAUAGAGAAGGGGACAGUCCAAGUAGGGGAUGGAGUGUGUUUUCCCUAAAAACCUGGCACGUAGGGACAUGGAUGAAUCUGGAGAACAUCAUUCUCAGCAAACUGACACAAGAACAGAAAAUGAAAUACCGCAUGUUCUCACUCAUAGGCGGGUGAUGAACAAUGAGAACACAUGGACACAGGGAGGGGAGCACUACACACUGGGGUCUGUUGGGGGGAAUAGGGGAGGGACAGUGGGGGGCGGGGAGCUGGGGAGGGUUAGCAUGGGGAGAAAUGCCAGAUGAGGGUGAAGGGGAGAAAGGCAGCAAAUCACACCGCCACGUGUGUACCUAUGCAACUAUCCUGCACGUUCUGCACAUGUACCCCAAAACCUAAAAUGCAAUUUUAAAAAAUUAAUUAAUUAAAUAAAACACCUGGCACAUUUUACUUAGACAGUUACUGUAGAAUGGGAGGCACUGGCCUUCGUGGCAGUUGUAGUCUCCAAGAGGUCCAUUGUGGUUCAUCCUAGAUGUGCUGAAUGAGGCUCACCAUAUGGGCUCAGUAAGGCAAAGGUGUGUGGGGAUGGGAGUGUCCAGAGGUGGGAGGCUGCCACUUUUGGCUUGAGUCCUUCGGGAUUUGAGUGGAGAGAUCAGAGCAGCGUUUGUUCCUGUCGAUGUUACGAGUGAUGUUCUUCUGAGACAGUGCUUGCCUUUUGUGACUAACCAUCAGUAUGAAUAACCAGCUCUCUUGAGCUUUCCAGUUUCCGUGUUCAUUUUAAUGAACACUUUAGCUCUGUCAGUUAACCUGCAGCUGGAUGGCUUCUCAUCCUGCCAUUUUUUUAUGGACAUUUUGAUUAUUUUAUUAGAGAUGGAUUUUGAAACUGCAAGAUCCAUGGCUCUCCAGGCCCCUCUCAGAGGUGUUUCACUCCAUUUCUGUUCACGAUGAGGUUGCAGAGCUGCAGCUGUUACCAUGUGGCUAUUACCGUGUCCACCUUUGCAGGCCCAGCUCUUGAUCCCCUUCUUGGCCUCCCGGUCAGGACCCCUCUCCCUCUUCAAAUGCCAUUUAACAGUCUAUGUUGGUGACACCUGUUAACAGCACAUGUCUGAUUUCCUUGUGGCUUGUGUGUCUUACCUUUGGCUUGGGUGAAUAUGGCCCUAUGUGCGUCCCUACCGCACAGUACGUUCCUCCUGCAAGACCUGAACACGCUUCGCAUUUCUAGAUGAGUGCUUGUGUUGCCACAGCCUUUUCAACUUCCAGUGUCCUAAAGAUAAGAGCAUCACUACUGAAGAGAGCCGGGGGCAAGUGGUGAUAUGAUAGCUGCCGAGCUGUCCCCUUGCUGGAAAGGUCUGCUGCUCGAAUAGGCACUGUCCGACUAGAAGUGCGCCUUGUCAUGGAAACUUGGGAACUAAAUGCAUUCAGGUCCAUUCCUCAUGCUCCAGUCUCUUGCUUGCUGCUCUCCAAAGCUCAGGCCAGGUAGAUGAGGAUGAAGGGGCAUCCCUCACUGCCUGAACUUUGAAACAAAGAGUUUAAAACAGCAGGGAUCAUUGUACCUUUGUGGUACCAAGAGCCAACCAUGGGAUUUCUGAGGAGGAAAACCAUAAGCUGUUAGAUUCACUCAUGGCUUUUUCUGUCCUGAGGAGGUGUCAGCCUCGUUUGUUUCUGUUUUCUUUCCUCUGUGGCCAUCCCUGCAGAGAGUGCUGGUCCUGUGCUGAGGCUCGUUGAAACUGUUCUCUGGCCACGUAUAUAAGGCAUUAGAGCAAAGCCUGACAGGUUACAGCCACAUUGUAACCAGGGCGAGUUUGAUUUCAUUUACCACUUAGCUGUAAUCUCUACGACUAUCAGUUUGAUUUACCUAGUUUCAUUCAGUGUUUAAUGACGGUUUAAUUUUUUUUUUUUUUUCGAGUUUUGCACUGUUGCCUAGGCUGGAGUGCAAUGGCACAGUCUUGGCUCACUUCAACCACUACCUCCCAGGUUCAAGUGAUACUCCUGCCUCAGCCUCCCCAGUAGCUGGGAUUAUAGGCCCUCAUUCCCACGCCCAGAUAAUUUUUUGUAUUUUUGGUAGAGAUGUGUUUCACUAUGUUGGGUAGGAUGGUCUGGAACUCCUGACCUCAUGAUCCACCUGCCUCAGCCUCACAAAGUGCUGGGGUUUACAGGUGUGAGCUGCUGCGUCCGGCAACAGUUUAAUAUUUUAAAUACAGGUUGUGCAACCUGACAGGGUUGUCUCGUCAUUAUGGGCAGUCAGAAUGUUCGAGUAAAGAACGACUUUAAAAAACUACUUUUCCUCCUACUAAUAAAUUAAUGCUUUGUAUAGAGAUUUUGAGUCAUAUAAAGCAUAUUAAGAAAGAAGGUUGGGCACAGUGGCUCAUGGCUGUAAUCCCAGCACUUUGGGAGGCUGAGGCAGGUGGAUCACAAGGUCAAGAGAUUCAGACCUGGCCAACAUGGUGAAAUCCCAUCUCUACUAAAAACACAAAAAUUAUCCAGGCAUAGUGGUGCAUGCCUGUAGUCCCAGCUGCUCGGGAGUCUGAGGCAGGAGAAUUGCUUGAAUCUGGGAGGCACAGGUUGCUGAGCCGAGAUCAUGCCACUGCACUCCAGUCUGGCGACAGAGCGAGACUCUGUCUCAAAAAAAAAAAAAUAUUAACAA